CACGUAGGGCGCGAGCGUUGUCCGGAAUUAUUGGGCGUAAAGAGCUCGUAGGCGGCCUGUUGCGUCCGCUGUGAAAGCCCGGGGCUUAACCCCGGGUCGGCAGUGGAUACGGGCAGGCUAGAGGUAGGUAGGGGAGAAUGGAAUUCCCGGUGUAGCGGUGAAAUGCGCAGAUAUCGGGAGGAACACCGGUGGCGAAGGCGGUUCUCUGGGCCUUACCUGACGCUGAAGAGCGAAAGCGUGGGGAGCGAACAGG
rnacentral:rRNA from 1 species